rnacentral:rRNA from 18 species
CCGGAAUGAUUGGGCGUAAAGCGUUUGAACAGGUGGUUUUGAAAGUCGAUUGUUAAAACCCAAGGCUUAACCUUGGACCGGCAAUGGAAACUUCUAGACUAGAGUAUGGUAGAGGUAGAUGGAAUUACCGGUGUAACGGUGAAAUGUGCAGAUAUCGGUAAGAACCCCGAUGGCGAAAGCAAUCUACUGGGCCAAAACUGACACUUAAGAACGAAAGCUAGGGGAGCGAAUAGGAUUAGAUACCCUAGUAGUCCUAGCUGUAAACGAUGGAAACUAAGUAUUGAAGAAAAGCAGUACUGUAGCUAACGCGUUAAGUUUCCCGCCUGGGAAGUAUGCUCGCAAGAGUGAAACUC